GCUUUAAUAAUUUAAAUAAAAUAUUGAUCUUGUAAAUCAAAAAUAAGCAAUAGCUUUUAAAGCU
rnacentral:tRNA from 1 species